CGAGAACUACAAAUUCCGAGAACCUCAAACGACACCAUCACCCGUUAUCAAAUCCCCUAUAAUUAAUUAAAGCCGGCAAAUCCUCGCAUAAAGUCUAGUUUCAAAGUCCUCUAGAGGGUUAUCUUCGGCCCGCUAAUAUGUCACUGAAUUGAUUUAGCCCCCUGGUAUUCCAUUUUCUAGCGCUACAACUGGAGCCGCUUACCAAGCGGGUCAGUCCUAUACAGUAGCCGCGUCCCCUGCAUCUGCAGCGGCCGCCACUUACGGAACGCAAAGACCUGCCGGAUACCACGCCGCUUACCAAGCGGGAGCCCCUGGUCAGGUGUUUCAGGGAACUUAUGCUGCAGUUGGUACUGGGGGUACACCAGCAUACGAGUACGGUUACGGACAAACAGCGGCGGCGAGUUACACGCCUGGCUACGACCAGUGUGGGGCUGGUAAGCCUACGUCAUACGCCACCACCUACACCUCUCAGAGGGCCAGUCAACAGGCUCAAGCAACUGCAGCCGCAAAACCAGCUCAAUACGCAGCAGCUUAUCAACCCAACGCCUCUGCUUACCAGGCCACAUACGGACAGCCAACCGCCCAA
rnacentral:lncRNA from 1 species